UGUUUCUUCCUUUUUUUUUCUUUAUUUAAUUUAUUUGAGCAACACAAAUACAAGGUUUGCCCGCAAGGUAAGGCAAAAGGCGGGCGUAAUCCUGCUCACCAA
rnacentral:lncRNA from 1 species